CAGUCAUCAUCUCCCUCAGCCAUCACAUCAUCCAUUCCUUUUCCCAUCCCUCCUCCUUUUUCCUCCUGUCCGUCUUCUCUCCUUCACCUCCUCGUUUCCUAUCCAUCUCCGUCUCCUCCGUCUCCUCCGUCUUCCAUCUUCCGUCUCCCGUCUUCCGUCUCCCAUCUCCCAUCUUCUCUUCGUCCGUCGUCUCUCCCCAUCAUCACCUCCUCCUUUCGCCCCAUCUCCCACCUACUCUGUUUCGCCUCCUCUUCGAACCCCAUCCAGCUACGACCCAUCUCGAAUCCGGAAUGAGAGUGUACUAGUUCAAGGACGAAAGAUCUCGUAUCCACACUUCUUGGUCCGCUUCGUUGCGGUGCACUGCUCUCCUCCGUUCUCCUUCUCUCACCUCCCAAGCCCAACGACCUCGCUUCUCUCGCUUCUGUCAAGAACACCAAAGUAGCCUUCCCUUUUUUUGGUCGUCGUCAAUCAUCUCUUUUCGUCUCGUUAGGACCAACCAAGCGCCCUCUUCCUCCUCCUGUCGGUCGGUUGAGUCUUUAGAGAGCCGAGGAAUUCGUUGUGGUCCUCAAGCACAGGGCCUUCAAAA
rnacentral:sRNA from 2 species